GGGUUGUGAGGUUAAGCGACUAAGCGUACACGGUGGAUGCCCUGGCAGUCAGAGGCGAUGAAGGACGUGCUAAUCUGCGAUAAGCGUCGGUAAGGUGAUAUGAACCGUUAUAACCGGCGAUUUCCGAAUGGGGAAACCCAGUGUGAUUCGUCACACUAUCAUUAACUGAAUCCAUAGGUUAAUGAGGCGAACCGGGGGAACUGAAACAUCUAAGUACCCCGAGGAAAAGAAAUCAACCGAGAUUCCCCCAGUAGCGGCGAGCGAACGGGGAGCAGCCCAGAGCCUGAAUCAGUGUGUGUGUUAGUGGAAGCGUCUGGAAAGGCGUGCGAUACAGGGUGACAGCCCCGUACACAAAAAUGCACAUGCUGUGAGCUCGAUGAGUAGGGCGGGACACGUGGUAUCCUGUCUGAAUAUGGGGGGACCAUCCUCCAAGGCUAAAUACUCCUGACUGACCGAUAGUGAACCAGUACCGUGAGGGAAAGGCGAAAAGAACCCCGGCGAGGGGAGUGAAAAAGAACCUGAAACCGUGUACGUACAAGCAGUGGGAGCACAGAGCAAUCUGUGUGACUGCGUACCUUUUGUAUAAUGGGUCAGCGACUUAUAUUCUGUAGCAAGGUUAACCGAAUAGGGGAGCCGAAGGGAAACCGAGUCUUAACUGGGCGUUAAGUUGCAGGGUAUAGACCCGAAACCCGGUGAUCUAGCCAUGGGCAGGUUGAAGGUUGGGUAACACUAACUGGAGGACCGAACCGACUAAUGUUGAAAAAUUAGCGGAUGACUUGUGGCUGGGGGUGAAAGGCCAAUCAAACCGGGAGAUAGCUGGUUCUCCCCGAAAGCUAUUUAGGUAGCGCCUCGUGAAUUCAUCUCCGGGGGUAGAGCACUGUUUCGGCAAGGGGGUCAUCCCGACUUACCAACCCGAUGCAAACUGCGAAUACCGGAGAAUGUUAUCACGGGAGACACACGGCGGGUGCUAACGUCCGUCGUGAAGAGGGAAACAACCCAGACCGCCAGCUAAGGUCCCAAAGUCAUGGUUAAGUGGGAAACGAUGUGGGAAGGCCCAGACAGCCAGGAUGUUGGCUUAGAAGCAGCCAUCAUUUAAAGAAAGCGUAAUAGCUCACUGGUCGAGUCGGCCUGCGCGGAAGAUGUAACGGGGCUAAACCAUGCACCGAAGCUGCGGCAGCGACGCUUAUGCGUUGUUGGGUAGGGGAGCGUUCUGUAAGCCUGCGAAGGUGUGCUGUGAGGCAUGCUGGAGGUAUCAGAAGUGCGAAUGCUGACAUAAGUAACGAUAAAGCGGGUGAAAAGCCCGCUCGCCGGAAGACCAAGGGUUCCUGUCCAACGUUAAUCGGGGCAGGGUGAGUCGACCCCUAAGGCGAGGCCGAAAGGCGUAGUCGAUGGGAAACAGGUUAAUAUUCCUGUACUUGGUGUUACUGCGAAGGGGGGACGGAGAAGGCUAUGUUGGCCGGGCGACGGUUGUCCCGGUUUAAGCGUGUAGGCUGGUUUUCCAGGCAAAUCCGGAAAAUCAAGGCUGAGGCGUGAUGACGAGGCACUACGGUGCUGAAGCAACAAAUGCCCUGCUUCCAGGAAAAGCCUCUAAGCAUCAGGUAACAUCAAAUCGUACCCCAAACCGACACAGGUGGUCAGGUAGAGAAUACCAAGGCGCUUGAGAGAACUCGGGUGAAGGAACUAGGCAAAAUGGUGCCGUAACUUCGGGAGAAGGCACGCUGAUAUGUAGGUGAAGCGACUUGCUCGUGGAGCUGAAAUCAGUCGAAGAUACCAGCUGGCUGCAACUGUUUAUUAAAAACACAGCACUGUGCAAACACGAAAGUGGACGUAUACGGUGUGACGCCUGCCCGGUGCCGGAAGGUUAAUUGAUGGGGUCAGCGCAAGCGAAGCUCUUGAUCGAAGCCCCGGUAAACGGCGGCCGUAACUAUAACGGUCCUAAGGUAGCGAAAUUCCUUGUCGGGUAAGUUCCGACCUGCACGAAUGGCGUAAUGAUGGCCAGGCUGUCUCCACCCGAGACUCAGUGAAAUUGAACUCGCUGUGAAGAUGCAGUGUACCCGCGGCAAGACGGAAAGACCCCGUGAACCUUUACUAUAGCUUGACACUGAACAUUGAGCCUUGAUGUGUAGGAUAGGUGGGAGGCUUUGAAGUGUGGACGCCAGUCUGCAUGGAGCCGACCUUGAAAUACCACCCUUUAAUGUUUGAUGUUCUAACGUUGACCCGUGAUCCGGGUUGCGGACAGUGUCUGGUGGGUAGUUUGACUGGGGCGGUCUCCUCCUAAAGAGUAACGGAGGAGCACGAAGGUUGGCUAAUCCUGGUCGGACAUCAGGAGGUUAGUGCAAUGGCAUAAGCCAGCUUGACUGCGAGCGUGACGGCGCGAGCAGGUGCGAAAGCAGGUCAUAGUGAUCCGGUGGUUCUGAAUGGAAGGGCCAUCGCUCAACGGAUAAAAGGUACUCCGGGGAUAACAGGCUGAUACCGCCCAAGAGUUCAUAUCGACGGCGGUGUUUGGCACCUCGAUGUCGGCUCAUCACAUCCUGGGGCUGAAGUAGGUCCCAAGGGUAUGGCUGUUCGCCAUUUAAAGUGGUACGCGAGCUGGGUUUAGAACGUCGUGAGACAGUUCGGUCCCUAUCUGCCGUGGGCGCUGGAGAACUGAGGGGGGCUGCUCCUAGUACGAGAGGACCGGAGUGGACGCAUCACUGGUGUUCGGGUUGUCAUGCCAAUGGCACUGCCCGGUAGCUAAAUGCGGAAGAGAUAAGUGCUGAAAGCAUCUAAGCACGAAACUUGCCCCGAGAUGAGUUCUCCCUGACUCCUUGAGAGUCCUGAAGGAACGUUGAAGACGACGACGUUGAUAGGCCGGGUGUGUAAGCGCAGCGAUGCGUUGAGCUAACCGGUACUAAUGAACCGUGAGGCUUAACCUUACAACGCCGAAGGUGUUU
rnacentral:rRNA from 1 species